UAGGGAAUCUUCCGCAAUGGACGCAAGUCUGACGGAGCAACGCCGCGUGAGUGAAGAAGGAUUUCGGUUCGUAAAACUCUGUUGUUAGAGAAGAACAGCGCAUAGAGUAACUGUUAUGCGUGUGACGGUAUCUAACCAGAAAGCCACGGCUAACUACGUGCCAGCAGCCGCGGUAAUACGUAGGUGGCAAGCGUUGUCCGGAUUUAUUGGGCGUAAAGCGAGCGCAGGCGGUCAAUUAAGUCUGAUGUGAAAGCCCCCGGCUCAACCGGGGAGGGUCAUUGGAAACUGGUUGACUUGAGUGCAGAAGAGGGGAGUGGAAUUCCAUGUGUAGCGGUGAAAGGCGUAGAUAUAUGGAGGAACACCAGUGGCGAAGGCGACUCUCUGGUCUGUAACUGACGCUGAGGCUCGAAAGCGUGGGUAGCAAACAGG
rnacentral:rRNA from 1 species